ACAGCCACAUCACGUAGAAAAAACAGUUCCUGUACGAUCACCGAAGUUAAGCAACAUUGAGUCUGGUCAAUACCUAGAUGGAUGACCGCUUGGGAAUAUCAGGUGCUGUAAG